UACAGGGGGUGCAAACGUUGCUCGGAAUCAUUGGGCGUAAAGCGCACGUAGGCGGAUUUGUCAGUCAGGGGUGAAAUCCCGGGGCUCAACCUCGGAACUGCCUUUGAUACAGCAAGUCUUGAGUUCGAGAGAGGUGGGUGGAAUUCCUAGUGUAGAGGUGAAAUUCGUAGAGAUGUGGAGGAACACCAGUGGCGAAGGCGACUCUUUGGCCUGUAACUGACACUGAGGCGCGAAAGCGUGGGGAGCAAACAGG
rnacentral:rRNA from 1 species